UACGGAGGGUGCAAGCGUUAAUCGGAAUUACUGGGCGUAAAGCGCGCGUAGGCGGCUUGGUCAGUUGGAUGUGAAAGCCCUGGGCUUAACCUGGGAACUGCAUUCAAUACUGCCAGGCUAGAGUACGAGAGAGGGGGGUAGAAUUUCUAGUGUAGCGGUGAAAUGCGUAGAUAUUAGAAGGAAUACCAGUGGCGAAGGCG
rnacentral:rRNA from 1 species